rnacentral:rRNA from 1 species
GGAGGAAAAGAAACCAACAGGGAUUCCCUUAGUAACGGCGAGCGAAAAGGGAAGAGUCCAGCGCCGAAUCCCGCGCCCUUCGGGCGUCGGGAAAUGUGGCGUUUAGGAGUGAGCGUGCCGGAGGUUGGCUCUGCAGCAAGUCCCCCUGACCGGGGCUCUUUCCCAGAGUGGGUGCGAGGCCCAUAGCUGCUAGGUCUCCUACGGAUGCGAGCUCCUUGGAGUCGGGUUGCUUGGGAGUGCAGCCCUAAUCGGGUGGUAAACUCCACCUAAGACUAAAUACGGCCGUGAGACCGAUAGCAAACAAGUACCGUGAGGGAAAGUUGCAAAGAACUUUGAAGAGAGAGUUCAAGAGUACGUGAAACUGCUCAGAGGAAAACGGGUGGGCCCUCGAAGUCCUGUGGCGGGAGGAUUCAGUCGGAGUCUCGAGGAUGCGCAGUCGGAGCAUACCAGAAGGGAUCCCGAGACCGGGCCUCUCUGGCUGCGCGCCUCUUCGAUCGCCGACGCAAUUGUUUCCCACCCGAAGGACGCCGCAACCGGUUGGUGGAACGGCCUUAAGGGCGGAUGAGGCAGGUGGCCGGUGACUUCCCUCGUGGCGGUCGCCGGUUGUUAGCCGUUCCGUCGCACGGCACGUGACCCGACCGCGGUGACGCGAGGCCCAGAUUGGGCUUCUACGCCUCCUGCCCUCGUUUGGUCCUGGACGAGCGCUGGCAACAGUUCCCGGAAUUCGCCCCCGUCGCACCGACCCGCUCGGUGGGCUGAGGUUCCGUGUCUGUGGUGGCCGUGCGAGAUCCAGAUGUCGAGGCUGGUGGGUUGGCGGCGAGUAGAUCGGUCACCCACCCNNNNNNNNNNNNNNNNNNGACCAAGGAGUCUAACAUGUGUGCGAGUCAAUGGGUCUCGAAGAAGCCCAGAGGCGCAAUGAAAGCAAAGGCCGUCCACGGCCGAGUUGGGAUCCUCUCCCCUACGAGGGCGAGGCGCACCAACGACCCGCCGGUACGGAUUUAUUCGUGUGGCGGAGUUUGAGCAUACACGUUGGGACCCGAAAGAUGGUGAACUAUGCCCGGGCAGGACGAAGCCAGAGGAAACUCUGGUGGAGGUCCGCAGCGGUUCUGACGUGCAAAUCGAUCGUCAGAUCCGGGUAUAGGGGCGAUAGACCAAUCGAACUAUCUAGUAGCUGGUUCCCUCCGAAGUUUCCCUCAGGAUAGCUGGCGCUCGUAGAAAUCAGUCUCAUCCGGUAAAGCGAAUGAUUAGAGGCCUUGGGGCCGAAACGACCUCAACCUAUUCUCAAACUUUAAAUGGGUGAGAAGUCCGCCUUGCAUGACUGAAGGCCGGACCUCGGAUGAGAGUGCCCAGUGGGCCACUUUUGGUAAGCAGAACUGGCGCUGUGGGAUGAACCAAACGCCGGGUUACGGUGUCCGAUGCGAGACGCUCAUGAGACCCCAUGAAAGGUGUUGGUUGCUCUAGACAACAGGUCGGUGGCCAUGGAAGUCGGAAUCCGCUAAGGAGUGUGUAACAACUCACCUGCCGAAGCAACUAGCCCUGAAAAUGGAUGACGCUCCAGCGUCGAACCCAUACCCGGCCGCUGCGGCAAAAUUCUCUGUUCAAAGGGAAGCUUAAGUCGCAGUGAGUAGGAGGGUCGCAGCGGCGAGCGUUGAAGGUGCCGGGCGUGAGCCCGCCUGGAGCCGCCGCUGGUGCAGAUCUUGGUGGUAGUAGCAAAUACUCAAGUGAGAACCUUGAGGACUGAAGUUGGAGAAGGGUUCCAUGUGAACAGCAGUUGAACAUGGGUCAGUCGGACCUGAGGGAUCGGAGAAAUCCGUUCCGAAGCGGGACAUUGACGAUAUUGCGCUACGCGAUGCGUGUGCUCGUCCCGCUGCCGACCGAAAGGGAAUGGGGUCAAUAUUCCCCAACCCGGACACGGAGAUAGGGCCCUCGGGCCCAAGUGCGGUAACGCAACCGAACUCGGAGACGGCGACGGAGGACCCGGGGAAGAGUUAUCUUUUCUUUGUAAGAGUUCGUGUCCCUGGAAUCGGUUCAUCCGGAGAUAGGGACGCUGUUCUCGUAAAAGCUCCGCGGCUCUUGCGGAGUCCGGUGCGCCUCUGCCGCCCCUUGAAAAUCCGAGGGAGAGAGUGUAAUUUUCGUGCCGGUCCGUACCCAUAUCCGCAGCAGGUCUCCAAGGUGAACAGCCUCUAGUCGAUA